rnacentral:rRNA from 1 species
CGCUGGCGGCGUGCCUAACACAUGCAAGUCGAACGAGAAAGUGGAGCAAUCCAUGAGUAAAGUGGCGACCGGGUGAGUAACACGUGACUAACCUACCUUCGAGUGGGGAAUAACUCCGGGAAACCGGGGCUAAUACCGCAUAACAUCGCAAGAUCAAAGCAGCAAUGCGCUUGAAGAGGGGGUCGCGGCUGAUUAGCUAGUUGGCGGGGUAACGGCCCACCAAGGCGAAGAUCGGUAUCCGGCCUGAGAGGGCGCACGGACACACUGGAACUGAAACACGGUCCAGACUCCUACGGGAGGCAGCAGUGGGGAAUUUUGCGCAAUGGGGGAAACCCUGACGCAGCAACGCCGCGUGGAGGAUGAAGCCCCUUGGGGCGUAAACUCCUUUCGACCAAGACGAUAAUGACGGUACUGGUGGAAGAAGCACCGGCUAACUCUGUGCCAGCAGCCGCGGUAAUACAGAGGGUGCGAGCGUUGUUCGGAAUUAUUGGGCGUAAAGGGCGCGUANGCGGUGCCACAAGUCACUUGUGAAAUCUCCAGGCUUAACUUGGAGUCUGCAGGCGAAACUGUGGUGCUGGAGUAUGGGAGAGGUGCGUGGAAUUCCCGGUGUAGCGGUGAAAUGCGU